rnacentral:rRNA from 1 species
UGGUUUUUGGCGGUCGAUUUAGCAUGCUAGUUGCACGAGUUCAUACUCGUGGCGAAAGCUCAGUAACACGUGGCCAAACUACCCUACAGAGAACGAUAACCUCGGGAAACUGAGGCUAAUAGUUCAUACGGGAGUCAUGCUGGAAUGCCGACUCCCCGAAACGCUCAGGCGCUGUAGGAUGUGGCUGCGGCCGAUUAGGUAGACGGUGGGGUAACGGCCCACCGUGCCGAUAAUCGGUACGGGUUGUGAGAGCAAGAGCCCGGAGACGGAAUCUGAGACAAGAUUCCGGGCCCUACGGGGCGCAGCAGGCGCGAAACCUUUACACUGCACGCAAGUGCGAUAAGGGGACCCCAAGUGCGAGGGCAUAUAGUCCUCGCUUUUCUCGACUGUAAGGCGGUCGAGGAAUAAGAGCUGGGCAAGACCGGUGCCAGCCGCCGCGGUAAUACCGGCAGCUCAAGUGAUGACCGAUAUUAUUGGGCCUAAAGCGUCCGUAGCCGGCCACGAAGGUUCAUCGGGAAAUCCGCCAGCUCAACUGGCGGGCGUCCGGUGAAAACCACGUGGCUUGGGACCGGAAGGCUCGAGGGGUACGUCCGGGGUAGGAGUGAAAUCCCGUAAUCCUGGACGGACCACCGAUGGCGAAAGCACCUCGAGAAGACGGAUCCGACGGUGAGGGACGAAAGCUAGGGUCUCGAACCGGAUUAGAUACCCGGGUAGUCCUAGCUGUAAACGAUGCUCGCUAGGUGUGACACAGGCUACAGUCUUGUGUUGUGACGUAGGCAGACGAGAGCUAGCCGCUAGUAGUACGUCGGCAGAUGAACCUGAAUGAUGGCGGGGAGCAUACAACGGACGAGCUGCGUUAUCGAUCGUCCGCGCCGGGA